CAUUCAGGAAAGGAACGCAGCCUCCUACCGCUCUGGCGGUGAAUUGCACCGCGCCGAAAUGGAGUGACGGAGGACACUGGUGUGUUCCGAAGAGGAGGAGACUGUCAUGAAUCUGUGUUCCCAGUGUGUCUCCCCUCCCCUGUGUCUGUGUCUCCCUCUCUCCUAGGGGCGGGUCCAGCGAGCCAGUAGGUGUGCAGGCUACGCACCUGUUCCUCAUUCUCAUCAGUCUCAGUUAAAGCCCGGUCUCUCCAGCCACUCGUCGUCAGAUCGUCCAGUUUCCCACGCGGAACCCUCCUCGCUCACCUGCAUUCUGCCUGUGCCUGCUGCCGUCCUUCACCGUGCCUCUCCGUUGUGCCCCACCACCUCGUCUCUCCACCCUGCCUUCGCCCUGCCUCACUGCACUGCCUCGCCAUCCAGCCACAACAUUCAAUUAAAGCACCUUUAACUGA